rnacentral:rRNA from 1 species
UGAGGAAUAUUGGUCAAUGGGCGAGAGCCUGAACCAGCCAAGUCGCGUGAAGGAAGACUGCCCGCAAGGGUUGUAAACUUCUUUUGUAUGGGAUUAAAGUCGUCUACGUGUAGACGUUUGCAGUUACCAUACGAAUAAGCAUCGGCUAACUCCGUGCCAGCAGCCGCGGUAAUACGGAGGAUGCGAGCGUUAUCCGGAUUUAUUGGGUUUAAAGGGAGCGUAGGCCGUUUGGUAAGCGUGUUGUGAAAUGUAGGAGCUCAACUUCUAGAUUGCAGCGCGAACUGUCAGACUUGAGUGCGCACAACGUAGGCGGAAUUCAUGGUGUAGCGGUGAAAUGCUUAGAUAUCAUGAAGAACUCCGAUUGCGAAGGCAGCUUACGGGAGCGCAACUGACGCUGAAGCUCGAAGGUGCGGGUAUCGAACAGG